ensembl:lncRNA
GGGAGAUAGUUCAGAAUAUCCCUUACCCCUGCCAAAUGUAGGUAGGUUAGAUGCUGCAUUUUCAGAAGUGAGACAAACUUUGCAAAUUUACUCUUGUUGAGUCUUACUACUUGCUAACGUAAACGUAGCUUCAGGAGUUUCAAAGAGCCUUUGGCACUUUCCCUGUGAUAAAUCUCUCACCUGUCUCUUCAUGACUCACCACUCUGUGCAGGGUGUCAUACAUCUGUGUUUUCACACUUCAAAAAGUGGAAAUGCAGAAAAUUUAUGAAGGGAAAUUAAUUUAUGAAGGGAAAAUAAAGUAAUUUUAGAAGCACUUGAUCUCCAGUGGCAGUAUGACAAGCUGGCCCCUGCCCAGAGCUUGGUGAAUUCUGCGAUGUGUGCAGAAUGACUCCAAGUUGGGACAGAGCAGCCUAGUCUAUAAUGGGAAUGGUGGAUCUUUAGAUGGAAGUAGGGCUUCCUUUGCUGGCUUCAGACGGAGGUUUAAAGGAGUUAAGCUUAUUCACCUCCCUUUCCCAGCCCCUCGGUAUCCUAUGCAAGCUUAUUUAGAAGCCUAUCAUAAAGUACCUAUGUACUGCAUAGAAAGGAUAAAGCUUUAUCCAGACAUAAUUCUCACUAUAUCUUCACCAUUUUGGAUAAGUGCCUCUUAAAAUUAAUCUAAAAACUCUUGCAGGAACUUUUUGGAGAAGGUUGAAGUUCACCAAAGUUACAGUCCAGACAGCUUCAGCUGUUCCAUUUGUCUCCAAUUUCUAUUAACAGGGCCAUAAAACUCAGGUAUCCUUUUUAGUUCUGAGUAUGAUUUAUACUGACAAAUUGUUUGAAGUGUGUCCUCAGAAGAGCUAUUUAUGUACAACUUGUGCGUAAGCAUACCAUCCCUGGUACAGACGUGGUUAGCUUAAGAAAGCAAUUUUCCUGUGUUCAGAUUGUUACCAAUUUCUUAUAAGGAAGUAGCAAAGAAGUACCUCAGAAUAUCAUUAAAUACAUCUUCACCCAUCAACUGUGUUAUUUUUUGUGUUUUACUGCAUAACCACCUCCUUUGUUACAUCCCCAAUAAAUGAUACAAGGAAAUUAUAGAGCCCUUCCACCUCAUAGUGCAUAGGAAGUUAUUUAAGUUAAGUAUUAGGUAAAAAAUGUCAUACCUUAUAAAGCAAAUGAGUUAUAGUGAUUCCUUCCCUUUCCUUGUUUUGUUUAUCCUUGCUAAGGCAAGCUCUUCUUGUUUCUUAUAUGUCAAGAUAAAAGAUCCAUUAGUCACAGCCAGUCUGGGUGGUUAAUUUCACAUCUUUGCUAUUUGUUUUAAUAGAUAAAAUUACUUGAAAUUCAGAAACCAUUUCAAAUCAUGUACUGCUUUAGUACAAAAGUGAAAAUGCUUAUUAUGCCAUUAAAAUGAAACAUGCAAUCUGUGAACUGUAGACAUUACAUGGACUAAUUUUUAUUUGUUGUAACCUCAAACAGAUAGCAUUUUGACCCGGUAUGUGUCCUCUGAAUCUGGGCAAAAGCAAUGAAGUGAAAUCUUAACCAUAUGUACUUUUCUCAAACAUCAAACACGAGAGAUUUAAAA